GAUGAACGCUGGCGGCGUGCCUAAUACAUGCAAGUCGAGCGAACAGACGAGGAUCUUGCUCCUCUGACGUUAGCGGCGGACGGGUGAGUAACACGUGGAUAACCUACCUAUAAGACUUGGAUCACUUCGGGAAACCGGAGCUAAUACCGGAUAAUAUUUUUAACCGCAUGGUUCAAUAGUGAAAGACGGUUUUGCUGUCACUUAUAGAUGUAUCCGCGCCGCUUUGGCUAGUUUGUAAGGUAACGGCUUACCAAGGCAACGAUGCGUAGACGACCUGAGAGGGUGGUAGGCCAAACUGGAACUGAGACAGGGACAAGGCGCCUAAGGGAAGCAGCAGUAGGGUACCGGACGCAAUGGGCGAAAGGAUGACGGAGCAGAGGCGCGUGAGAGGUGAAGAUCUUGGGAUCGUAAAGACCGGUUAUUAGGGAAGAACAAAUGUGUAAGUAGCUAUGCACGUCUUGACGGUACCUAAUCAGAAAGCCACGGCUAACUACGUG
rnacentral:rRNA from 1 species